AACGCACCUUGCGCCCUUUGGUAUUCCGAAGGGCACACCUGUUUGAGUGUCAUUAAUCUCUCAACCUUGCCAUUUUUUUAUUAAAGUGUCAGUGGUUGGAUGUUGAGUGUUGCUGGACAUUUUUGCUUCAGCUCACUUUAAAUUUAUGAGCAGGCUCCUACCAUUUUGGACUGACUCAACGUGAUAAGAAAUUUCGUUGAGGACACUUUACAGUGGCCAAGUUGUAGGGAAUUGCCGCUACUAGUUGACUUUUAUAUUUUAGACCUCAAAUCAGGUGGGACUACCCGCUGAACUUAA
rnacentral:misc_RNA from 1 species